rnacentral:lncRNA from 1 species
GCUAUUUUAAACUUUUCUUAUCACAUGAUUUCUUUUUAUCUUAUGUGUUUGAUUAUAAUGGUUUGUCUAAAUCAAUAUUUGGCAUGCUAGUUUACUCGUCGUAUUAUUAAAUGCGUACUAUUCCCUAUCUCUUUUUCUCUUUGCAUAAAUUCUUCCGGAUGAGCCCAAUUGGACUCCCCAUAUCCUUGCAUUUGAAUGUCAUCGAGUCGAGCCUUAUUAAAGUUCAAAAUUGGGAUCAUCAAGUCGAGCCUUAUUAAAGUCCAAAAUUGAACGGAUAUACACAGGAUAGCACACGUAUACAAGCUGGUUAUUGAAAAUACUCGUUGGAAAUGGUCUCCAAAGAAGACUUUAAGUUUUGUAUUAUAUUUUUAUAUUUUUAUACUUGUACAAAAUAUUAUCUAGUGAAAACUUUAUUUUUAGAAUGUUGGGUGGGCAUACGUUUACUUAUGCAAUCUUUUACACACGUUUAAUCAGAUUUAG